GAACGAACGCUGGCGGCAUGCCUAACACAUGCAAGUCGAACGAGACCUUCGGGUCUAGUGGCGCACGGGUGCGUAACGCGUGGGAACCUGCCCUUAGGUUCGGAAUAACUCCCCGAAAGGGGUGCUAAUACCGGAUAAUGUCUUCGGACCAAAGAUUUAUCGCCUUUGGAUGGGCCCGCGUUGGAUUAGCUAGUUGGUAGGGUAAAAGCCUACCAAGGCGACGAUCCAUAGCUGGUCUGAGAGGAUGAUGAGCCACACUGGGACUGAGACACGGCCCAGACUCCUACGGGAGGCAGCAGUGGGGAAUAUUGGACAAUGGGCGAAAGCCUGAUCCAGCAAUGCCGCGUGAGUGAUGAAGGCCUUAGGGUUGUAAAGCUCUUUUACCCGGGAUGAUAAUGACAGUACCGGGAGAAUAAGCUCCGGCUAACUCCGUG
rnacentral:rRNA from 1 species